UAGUAUUAAAAUUCAAAAUUUCUGGAUCAGUCCUUCAUAAGUCUAUAAUGAUGAAUACUGUAACAUAUGUAUUUUUGUUAGUUGUCAUUUUUGCGGUUAUCUCGACCUUUGAUGUCAUGGCUGAACCAUCAGCUGAAGUGGACCCUACUCUGCGAUCACGAUCUAAGCGAGGUCUACUAAAUCUGCUAUUCUUCUAUGGAGGAUUCCUCCUAAGACUUUUUUUAAAUAUCUUGGCAAACUUCCUGGCGUAUAGAAAUAGCAUAGCAUGAUACAAUUGAGACUACAAUGCACUUAAGAUGAGUUAUAUAAAAAGAUUAUGAUUAAGUGAUUAUGGCACAAUAUAUUUAGCAGAAUUUUCAAUUAUUACAACUAUUCUAUGGUAAUUUAUCUAUAAUAAUGUGAAAAAUUGCUCGAAAUAAUGUUUUUGUCAGGAUUAUAUAAAUUGUAAUGUGUAAUUAUAUUAUUUUAUUAUCAUAUAUAAAAAUAUAUUUUGUGUGAAUAAAUGUCCGUAUUAUAACCAUA